CAGUAGCCGCGGUAAUACGGAGGGAGCUAGCGUUGUUCGGAAUUACUGGGCGUAAAGCGCGCGUAGGCGGUUACUCAAGUCAGAGGUGAAAGCCCGGGGCUCAACCCCGGAACUGCCUUUGAAACUAGGUGACUAGAAUCUUGGAGAGGUCAGUGGAAUUCCGAGUGUAGAGGUGAAAUUCGUAGAUAUUCGGAAGAACACCAGUGGCGAAGGCGACUGACUGGACAAGUAUUGACGCUGAGGUACGAAAGCAUGGGGAGCAAACAGGAUUAGAUACCCCCGUAGUCCCUGUCUCUUAUAC
rnacentral:rRNA from 1 species